CGCUCGGGCCGGGGGGUCCCGGGGAGCCGGAGCGCGUGGCCUCUCUAAUUCCGUCUAUUCCUGCUCUCCUGGCUCCAGGAUGUGCCUCCAGGAAUGAAACGAGUGUGCAAAUUGUUGGAAAGCAUCCCAGGGGAGGCUAAUGGCUACCUCAUGGAUUGUGCCAUGGAGCUGGAUUCCAGAC